rnacentral:tRNA from 1 species
GAGGGUAUAGCUCAGUGGUAGAGCACAUGCUUAGCAUGCACGAGGUCCUGGGUACUUUCA